rnacentral:rRNA from 1 species
UACGGGGGGGCAAGCGUUGUUCGGAAUUACUGGGCGUAAAGGGCUCGUAGGUGGCCAACUAAGUCAGACGUGAAAUCCCUCGGCUUAACCGGGGAACUGCGUCUGAUACUGGUCGACUUGAGUUCGGGAGAGGGAAGCGGAAUUCCGGGUGUAGCGGUGAAAUGACGUAGAUAUCCGGAGGAACACCGGUGGCGAAGGCGGCUCCUGGACCGAUACUGACGCUGAGGCGCGGAAAGCUAGGGGAGCAAACGGG